CGUCUCAUGGUCUUACGGCCAGGGCUACACACGUACUACAAUGGUAGGGACAGAGGGCUGCAAGCCGGCGACGGUAAGCCAAUCCCAGAAACCCUAUCUCAGUCCGGAUUGGAGUCUGCAACUCGACUCCAUGAAGUCGGAAUCGCUAGUAAUCGCAGAUCAGCAUUGCUGCGGUGAAUACGUUCCCGGGCCUUGUACACACCGCCCGUCACACCAUGGGAGUUUGUUGCACCAGAAGCAGGUAGCUUAACCUUCGGGAGGGCGCUUGCCACGGUGUGGCCGAUGACUGGGGUGAAGUCGUAACAAGGUAGCCGUAUCGGAAGGUGCGGUUGGAUCACCUCCUAA
rnacentral:rRNA from 1 species